rnacentral:rRNA from 1 species
UACGGAGGGUGCUAGCGUUGUUCGGAAUUACUGGGCGUAAAGGGCGCGUAGGCGGCUGCUCAAGUCGGGUGUGAAAGCCCGGGGCUCAACCCCGGAACGGCACCCGAGACUGGGCGGCUCGAGACCGGGAGAGGUGGGUGGAAUACCCAGUGUAGAGGUGAAAUUCGUAGAUAUUGGGUGGAACACCGGUGGCGAAAGCGGCUCACUGGCCCGGUUCUGACGCUGAGGCGCGAAAGCGUGGGGAGCAAACAGG